GGGGUUGUGGCUCAGUGGUAGAGCACUCACCUAGCAUGUUUGAAGCCCUGAGUUUGAUCCUCAGCACCA
rnacentral:tRNA from 1 species